rnacentral:rRNA from 1 species
CGCCCGUCGCUCCUACCGAUUGGGUGUGCUGGUGAGAUGUCGGGAUUAGUGGCUGUGGGCGGUUCGCCGCCCUCUGCCGCUGAGAACUUCAUCAAACCCCCCCACCUAGAGGAAGGAGAAGUCGUAACAAGGUUCCU